rnacentral:rRNA from 1 species
GAUGAACGCUAGCGGCAGGCCUAACACAUGCAAGUCGAGGGGCAGCAUAAAAUAAACUUGUUUAUUUGGUGGCGACCGGCGCACGGGUGCGUAACGCGUAUGCAACCUACCUUACACAGGGGGAUAGCCCGGAGAAAUUCGGAUUAAUACCCCAUAGCACUAUCGGAUGGCAUCAUUUGAUAUUUAAAGCUUUGGCGGUGUAAGAUGGGCAUGCGUCCUAUUAGCUAGUUGGUGAGGUAACGGCUCACCAAGGAUACGAUAGGUAGGGGGCCUGAGAGGGUGGUCCCCCACACUGGUACUGAGACGCGGACCAGACUCCUACGGGAGGCAGCAGUGAGGAAUAUUGGUCAAUGGGCGCAAGCCUGAACCAGCCAUGCCGCGUGAAGGAUGAAGGUUCUAUGGAUUGUAAACUUCUUUUAUUUGGGAAUAAACCCCUUUACGUGUAGAGGGCUGAAGGUACCAAAUGAAUAAGCACCGGCUAACUCCGUGCCAGCCGCCGCUGUAAGAC